AUUGAACGCUGGCGGCAUGCCUUACACAUGCAAGUCGAACGGCAGCACGGGAGCAAUCCUGGUGGCGAGUGGCGAACGGGUGAGUAAUGUAUCGGAACGUGCCCAGUCGUGGGGGAUAACGCAGCGAAAGCUGUGCUAAUACCGCAUGAGACCUGAGGGUGAAAGCGGGGGGAUCGCAAGACCUCGCGCUAUUGGAGCGGCCGAUAUCAGAUUAGCUAGUUGGUGGGGUAAAGGCCUACCAAGGCAACGAUCUGUAGUUGGUCUGAGAGGACGACCAGCCACACUGGGACUGAGACACGGCCCAGACUCCUACGGGAGGCAGCAGUGGGGAAUUUUGGACAAUGGGCGCAAGCCUGAUCCAGCAAUGCCGCGUGCA
rnacentral:rRNA from 1 species